GAUGAACGCUGGCGGCGUGCCUAAUACAUGCAAGUCGAGAGAACGGACGAGAAGCUUGCUUUUCUGAUGUUAGCGGCGGACGGGUGAGUAACACGUGGAUAACCUACCUAUAAGACUGGGAUAACUUCGGGAAACCGGAGCUAAUACCGGAUAAUAUUUUGAACCGCAUGGUUCAAAAGUGAAAGACGGUCUUGCUGUCACUUAUAGAUGGAUCCGCGCUGCAUUAGCUAGUUGGUAAGGUAACGGCUUACCAAGGCAACGAUGCAUAGCCGACCUGAGAGGGUGAUCGGCCACACUGGAAUUGAGACACGGUCCAGACUCCUACGGGAGGCAGCAGUAGGGAAUCUUCCGCAAUGGGCGAAAGCCUGACGGAGCAACGCCGCGUGAGUGAUGAAGGUCUUCGGAUCGUAAAACUCUGUUAUUAGGGAAGAACAUAUGUGUAAGUAACUGUGCACAUCUUGACGGUACCUAAUCAGAAAGCCACGGCUAACUACGU
rnacentral:rRNA from 1 species